rfam:Brassica napus, WGS project CCCW01000000 data, contig: 4052
GUAGUUGCAGAUGCAGCAUCAUUAAGAUUCACAAGAGAUGUGGUUUUCUUGUUUUCUCGCCUCUUGGGAAUCUUGAUGAUGCUGCAUCAGCAACUAC